GUGAGGAAUAUUGGACAAUGGGCGCAAGCCUGAUCCAGCCAUGCCGCGUGCAGGAAGACGCAUCUAUGGUGUGUAAACUGCUUUUGUACGGGAAGAAACACUCCCUCGUGAGGGAGCUUGACGGUACCGUAAGAAUAAGGAUCGGCUAACUCCGUGCCAGCAGCCGCGGUAAUACGGAGGAUCCAAGCGUUAUCCGGAAUCAUUGGGUUUAAAGGGUCCGUAGGCGGUUUAAUAAGUCAGUGGUGAAAGCCCAUCGCUCAACGGUGGAACGGCCAUUGAUACUGUUAGACUUGAAUUACAAGGAAGUAACUAGAAUAUGUAGUGUAGCGGUGAAAUGCUUAGAUAUUACAUGGAAUACCAAUUGCGAAGGCAGGUUACUACUUGUGGAUUGACGCUGAUGGACGAAAGCGUGGGGAGCGAACAGGAUUAGAAACCCGUGUAGUCC
rnacentral:rRNA from 1 species